rnacentral:misc_RNA from 1 species
CUGAAUGAUUGAAGUGAAACGUGUGACGGAAUCACUGCGAGUACCGUGUCUACUGCGUCCACCAGUUGAAUAUAGGAAGCAAGAACCUGGUAUAUUUUCGUGAAAGCAGAAUCCAAAGUUUUCCUCCACGCCUCAGCCACUUCCGGUGUGUA